CAGUGUUACAGCUCUUUUAGAAUUAAUCUAGCAGGUUUUUUGGAUUUUACUAUAACUGCUGCCCCC
rnacentral:snRNA from 1 species